CGUAGGUGAACCUGCGGAAGGAUCAUUGUCGGUGACCCGUGAAAAAACGACCGGAGCACACGUGAUAGAACACUGCCGGAGCGGCGGCGCCGCACCGGCCAACCGGCCACUGUCCUCGCGCCCUCCGGCGCGUCGGCUGCGGGCUGAUCACGGCGUCGGCUGACGCCAAGUAACACGCGAUGCGGAGGCGGCGGCGGCUCGCUGGAGCGUGCCGCCCGCUGCCGACGCGAAGGAAAUUAACAUGACUCUCGGCAACGGAUAUCUCGGCUCUCGCAUCGAUGAAGAACGUAGCGAAAUGCGAUACGUGGUGUGAAUUGCAGAAUCCCGCGAACCAUCGAGUUUUUG
rnacentral:misc_RNA from 1 species